rnacentral:rRNA from 1 species
CAGCCGCCGCGGUAAAACGGAGGGUGCAAGCGUUAAUCGGAAUUACUGGGCGUAAAGCGCACGCAGGCGGUCUGUCAAGUCAGAUGUGAAAUCCCCGGGCUUAACCUGGGAACUGCAUUUGAAACUGGCAGGCUAGAGUCUUGUAGAGGGGGGUAGAAUUCCAGGUGUAGCGGUGAAAUGCGUAGAGAUCUGGAGGAAUACCGGUGGCGAAGGCGGCCCCCUGGACAAAGACUGACGCUCAGGUGCGAAAGCGUGGGGAGCAAACAGGAUUAGAUACCCCUGUAGUCCCUGUCUCUUAUAC